rnacentral:rRNA from 1 species
UACGUAGGGUGCAAGCGUUAAUCGGAUUUACUGGGCGUAAAGGGCGCGUAGGCGGUCAGCACAAGUCAGUUGUGAAAUCUCCGAGCUUAACUCGGAAAGGUCAACUGAUACUGUGCGACUAGAGUGCGGAAGGGGCAACUGGAAUUCUUGGUGUAGCGGUGAAAUGCGUAGAUAUCAAGAGGAACACCUGCGGCGAAGGCGGGUUGCUGGGCCGACACUGACGCUGAUGCGCGAAAGCCAGGGGAGCGAACGGG